GACGAACGCUGGCGGCGUGCUUAACACAUGCAAGUCGAACGAAGUGGCGAACGGGUGAGUAACGCGUAAUCAACCUGCCCUUCAGAGGGGGACAACAGUUGGAAACGACUGCUAAUACCGCAUACUGAAGGAGGGGAUUGCGUCGGAUUAGCUAGUUGGCGGGGUAACGGCCAACCAUGGCGAUGAUCAGUAGCCGGUCGGAGAGGAUGACCGGCAACAUGGGGACUGAGACACGGCCCAGACUCCUACGGGAGGCAGCCGUGGGGAAUCUUCCGCAAUGGACGAAAGUCUGACGGAGCAACGCCGCGUGAGUGAUGACGGCCUUCGGGUUGUAAAGCUCUGUUGUUAGAGAAGCGGUAUCUAACCAGAAAGCCACGGCUAACUACGUGCCAGCCGCCGCGGUAAUAC
rnacentral:rRNA from 1 species